rnacentral:tRNA from 1 species
ACGCGGGAGUAGCUCAGCUUGGUAGAGCAUCGGCCUUCCAAGCCGAGGGUCGCGGGUUCGAAUCCCGUCUCCCGCUC